UAGGGAAUAUUGGACAAUGGGUGCGAGCCUGAUCCAGCCAUGCCGCGUGCAGGAAGAAGGCGUUAUGCGUUGUAAACUGCUUUAGCCAGGGGAUAAAACGACCUUGCGAGGUUAAUUGAAGGUACCUGGAUAAUAAGCCACGGCUAACUACGUGCCAGCAGCCGCGGUAAUACGUAGGUGGCAAGCGUUGUCCGGAUUUAUUGGGUUUAAAGGGUGCGUAGGCGGCCCUGUAAGUCAGUGGUGAAAUAUCUCAGCUUAACUGAGAGGGUGCCAUUGAUACUGCGGGGCUUGAGUACAGAUGAGGUAGGCGGAAUUGACGGUGUAGCGGUGAAAUGCAUAGAUAUCGUCAAGAACACCGAUAGCGAAGGCAGCUUACCAAGCUGUAACUGACGCUGAGGCACG
rnacentral:rRNA from 1 species